rnacentral:rRNA from 1 species
GACGAACGCUGGCGGCGUGCUUAACACAUGCAAGUCGAACGGAAAGGCCCUGCCUUUGUGGGGUGCUCGAGUGGCGAACGGGUGAGUAACACGUGAGUAACCUGCCCUUGACUUUGGGAUAACUUCAGGAAACUGGGGCUAAUACCGGAUAGGAGCUCCUGCUGCAUGGUGGGGGUUGGAAAGUUUCGGCGGUUGGGGAUGGACUCGCGGCUUAUCAGCUUGUUGGUGGGGUAGUGGCUUACCAAGGCUUUGACGGGUAGCCGGCCUGAGAGGGUGACCGGCCACAUUGGGACUGAGAUACGGCCCAGACUCCUACGGGAGGCAGCAGUGGGGAAUAUUGCACAAUGGGCGGAAGCCUGAUGCAGCAACGCCGCGUGCGGGAUGGCGGCCUUCGGGUUGUAAACCGCUUUCGCCUGUGACGAAGCGUGAGUGACGGUAAUGGGUAAAGAAGCACCGGCUAACUACGUG